AUGGCGUCCACCAAGGUGCAGCGGAUCAUGACCCAGCCCAUCAACCUCAUCUUCCGCUUCCUCCAGAGCAAGGCGCGCAUCCAGAUCUGGCUCUUCGAGCAGAAGGACGUGCGGAUCGAGGGCAGGAUCAUCGUCUUCGAUGAAUACAUGAAUCUGGUCUUGGAGGAUGCUGAGGAGAUCAACAUCAAGAAAGACACUAGGAAGUCUCUUGGUCGGAUCCUCUUGAAAGGAGAUAACAUUACACUAAUGAUGAACACGUAA
rnacentral:rRNA from 1 species